rnacentral:sRNA from 1 species
UUUUUAUACAUCAAUU